ACUUAAAUUGAAGAGUUUGAUCAUGGCUCAGAUUGAACGCUGGCGGCAGGCCUAACACAUGCAAGUCGAGCGGUAACACAGAGAGCUUGCUCUCGGGUGACGAGCGGCGGACGGGUGAGUAAUGUCUGGGAAACUGCCUGAUGGAGGGGGAUAACUACUGGAAACGGUAGCUAAUACCGCAUAACGUCGCAAGACCAAAGUGGGGGACCUUCGGGCCUCAUGCCAUCAGAUGUGCCCAGAUGGGAUUAGCUAGUAGGUGGGGUAAUGGCUCACCUAGGCGACGAUCCCUAGCUGGUCUGAGAGGAUGACCAGCCACACUGGAACUGAGACACGGUCCAGACUCCUACGGGAGGCAGCAGUGGGGAAUAUUGCACAAUGGGCGCAAGCCUGAUGCAGCCAUGCCGCGUGUAUGAAGAAGGCCUUCGGGUUGUAAAGUACUUUCAGCGAGGAGGAAGGCAUUAAGGUUAAUAACCUUGGUGAUUGACGUUACUCGCAGAAGAAGCACCGGCUAACUCCGUGCCAGCAGCCGCGGUAAUACGGAGGGUGCAAGCGUUAAUCGGAAUUACUGGGCGUAAAGCGCACGCAGGCGGUCUGUCAAGUCGGAUGUGAAAUCCCCGGGCUCAACCUGGGAACUGCAUUCGAAACUGGCAGGCUAGAGUCUUGUAGAGGGGGGUAGAAUUCCAGGUGUAGCGGUGAAAUGCGUAGAGAUCUGGAGGAAUACCGGUGGCGAAGGCGGCCC
rnacentral:rRNA from 1 species